rnacentral:misc_RNA from 1 species
GUAUUUGAUUGCGUUUUAUCAACACAUUUCUGUUAGUACAUUCUGUAGACAUUCGGGGUCGAUGAAAUACGUAGACCCCCGGAGGGGGGGGCCUACAGUGAGUUCACAGGUGUGUGUUGGGAUCAGGCGUGCACGUGCCCCUGGGGGCCAGCAACAGCCCUCACUUUCAUUCGAUAAUGAUCCUUCCGCAGGUUCACCUACGGAAA